UUUUUUGGAGUUCACCAGGGAUGUUUGGUUAGAACUCUCUUUCCACACCUCAAAUCCACCCCAAGCAGAGCUCCAGCAGCUGCUGAGGCAAGGACUUGGACAUCUGCUUCACAUCACGAUGGAAAGUGGGGAUCAUCAGAUGUUUGUAGCUGUCCCACCAUUAAGUCAAGGCUGCCCUCCUUGCUCUGGCCCAUGUCAAGGCCACCUCCCUGGGCUCUGCACACCUGAUUUAGGCACUAACCAUUGCUGGCUGCCUCUAAGGAAAUGAAGAGUUUAGAAAUGCACAGCUGAGGGGUAAAAACAUCACUGGAUCCACAGAUACAGCGAUGCUGGGCAGAGCUGGGACCACCUUGUGCUCAGGUGUGUUACUUUUUACUGAAGUCAGUCCAAGGAAAGAAAAAGAAGAAAGUACUUUUAGGGAGUGAUUAAUCCCAUCUUAAAACAAGUGUGUAAGACAGGUAGGAUAAGUCUCUCUGAAAACGCCAAUCUGUCAUCACUAUCUAUAGAAGGAGCCUUC